rnacentral:rRNA from 1 species
UACGUAGGGUGCAAGCGUUAAUCGGAAUUACUGGGCGUAAAGCGUGCGCAGGCGGUUUUGUAAGUCUGUCGUGAAAGCCCCGGGCUCAACCUGGGGAAUUGCGAUGGAGACUGCAAGGCUUGAAUCUGGCAGAGGGGGGGUAGAAUUCCACGUGUAGCAGUGAAAUGCGUAGAGAUGUGGAGGAACACCGAUGGCGAAGGCAGCCCCCCUGGGUCAAGAUUGACGCUCAUGCACGAAAGCGUGGGGAGCAAACAGG